rnacentral:rRNA from 1 species
UACGAAGGGUGCAAGCGUUACUCGGAAUUACUGGGCGUAAAGCGUGCGUAGGUGGUGAGUUAAGUCUGUCGUGAAAGCCCCGGGCUCAACCUGGGAAUGGCGAUGGAUACUGGCUCGCUAGAGUGCGGUAGAGGGUGGUGGAAUUCCCGGUGUAGCAGUGAAAUGCGUAGAGAUCGGGAGGAACAUCAGUUGCGAAGGCGGCCACCUGGACCAGCACUGACACUGAGGCACGGAAAGCGUGGGGAGCAAACAGG